rnacentral:rRNA from 1 species
ACGGGUGAGUAAUACAUCGGAACGUGUCCGCUUGUGGGGGACAACCAGCCGAAAGGUUGGCUAAUACCGCAUGAGUUCUACGGAAGAAAGAGGGGGACCCGCAAGGGCCUCUCGCGAGCGGAGCGGCCGAUGACUGAUUAGCCUGUUGGUGAGGUAACGGCUCACCAAAGCAACGAUCAGUAGCUGGUCUGAGAGGACGACCAGCCACACUGGGACUGAGACACGGCCCAGACUCCUACGGGAGGCAGCAGUGGGGAAUUUUGGACAAUGGGCGCAAGCCUGAUCCAGCUAUUCCGCGUGUGGGAUGAAGGCCCUCGGGUUGUAAACCACUUUUGUAGAGAACGAAAAGACAUCUUCGAAUAAAGGAUGUUGCUGACGGUACUCUAAGAAUAAGCACCGGCUAACUACGUGCCAGCAGCCGCGGUAAUACGUAGGGUGCGAGCGUUAAUCGGAAUUACUGGGCGUAAAGGGUGCGCAGGCGGUUGAGUAAGACAGAUGUGAAAUCCCCGAGCUUAACUCGGGAAUGGCAUAUGUGACUGCUCGACUAGAGUGUGUCAGAGGGAGGUGGAAUUCCACGUGUAGCAGUGAAAUGCGUAGAUAUGUGGAAGAACACCGAUGGCGAAGGCAGCCUCCUGGGACAUAACUGACGCUCAGGCACGAAAGCGUGGGGAGCAAACAGGAUUAGAUACCCUGGUAGUCCACGCCCUAAACGAUGUUAACUAGUUGUUGGGAUGUAACAAUCUCAGUAACGCAGCCAACGCGAGAAGUUAACCGCCUGGGAAGUACGGUCGCAAGACUAAAACUCAAAGGAAUU